UACGAAGGGGGCUAGCGUUGCUCGGAAUCACUGGGCGUAAAGCGCACGUAGGCGGAUUGCUAAGUCAGGGGUGAAAUCCUGGAGCUCAACUCCAGAACUGCCUUUGAUACUGGCGAUCUUGAGUCCGGAAGAGGUGAGUGGAAUUCCGAGUGUAGAGGUGAAAUUCGAUAGAUAUUCGGAGGAACACCAGUGGCGAAGGCGGCUCACUGGUCCGGUACUGACGCUGAGGUGCGAAAGCGUGGGGAGCAAACAGG
rnacentral:rRNA from 1 species